rnacentral:rRNA from 1 species
CGGAGGGUGCAAGCGUUAUCCGGAUUCACUGGGUUUAAAGGGUGCGUAGGCGGAUAGGUAAGUCCGUGGUGAAAUCCUGCAGCUUAACUGCAGAACUGCCAUGGAUACUAUUUAUCUUGAAUAUCGUGGAGGUUAGCGGAAUAUGUCAUGUAGCGGUGAAAUGCUUAGAUAUGACAUAGAACACCCAUUGCGAAGGCAGCUAACUACGCGAUCAUUGACGCUGAUGCACGAAAGCGUGGGGAUCAAACAGGAUUAGAUACCCUGGUAGUCCACGCCCUAAACGAUGAUUACUCGACAUUGGUGAUACACAGUCAGUGUCUGAGCGAAAGCAUUAAGUAAUCCACCUGGGAAGUACGAUCGCAAGAUUG